rnacentral:rRNA from 1 species
GACGGGGGGGGCAAGUGUUCUUCGGAAUGACUGGGCGUAAAGGGCGCGUAGGCGGUUUGUUUAGUUAGGCGUGAAAUUCCUGGGCUCAACCUGGGGGCUGCGCUUAAUACAGGCAGACUAGAGUGUGAAAGAGGGUCGUGGAAUUUCCAGUGUAGAGGUGAAAUUCGUAGAUAUUGGAAAGAACACCGGUGGCGAAGGCGGCGACCUGGUUCAUUACUGACGCUGAGGCGCGAAAGCGUGGGGAGCAAACAGG